rnacentral:rRNA from 1 species
AUGGCUUCCUAUUCGGAGAAGCAGGCCAACGACAAGGGUGAGAAACAUCAUGAGCUAGUUUGUGUGACUGGGGCAGGAGGCUUCAUUGGUUCAUGGGUGGUGAAGGCGCUCCUCCUCCAUGGCUACCGUGUCCGGGGAACUGCCAGAGACCCCGCUGAUCACAAGAACGCGCACCUGCUUACCCUGGAGGGAGCCCAGGAGAGGUUAGCCUUAUGCCGCGCCGAUCUCCUGGACCGUGACAACCUCUGUUCAGUGUUCAGCGGAUGCCAUGGCGUUUUUCAUGUCGCCUCCCCGAUCUCGGAAACCGACCCUGAGCUCAUGGUGGUCGCCGUGGAGGGAACCAGGAACGUGAUCAACGCGGCGGCUGACGCGGGCGUGCGGCGUGUGGUGUUUACUUCCUCCUACGGCGCCGUGCACAUGGAUCCCAACAGGAGCCCGGACACGGUCGUGGAUGAGACGUGCUGGAGCGACUAUGACUUCUGCAAGGAGACUGGCAACAUGUACUGCUGCUCGAAGAUAAUGGCGGAGAUCACGGCGAAGGAGGAGGCGGCCAACAGGGGGCUGGACCUGGCAGUGGUGGUGCCGUCGAUGACGAUCGGCCCCGCGCUGCAGCAGAAGCUCAAUCUGGGCAUCGCCUUUAUCAACCGCUACCUCACGGGCGCCAAGAAGACCUGCCCCAACGCCGUGGCCGGCUACACCGACGUCCGCGACGUCGCCCGCGCCCACGUCGUCGUCUACGAGCGCCCGGACGCACGCGGCAGGUACCUCUGCAUGGGCGCCGUGCUGCACCGUGCCCAUUUCCUCCAGCUGCUCCGAGACCUUUUCCCGCAGUACCCCAUCACCGACAAGCGUGAAGAUGACGGCAAGCCGAUGGCCAAGCCGUACAGGUUCUCCAACCAGAGGCUGAGGGACCUCGGGUUGGAGUUCACUCCCCUCAAGGAGAGUUUGUACGACAUGGUGGUAUCCCUGCAGCAGCAUGGUCACCUGCCUGUUGUUCCGGGGCCAGAUGGUCCACGCCUCUAA